UGAGAGGUGGGAGCAGGUGGGACUCAGAGCUCAGAUUCCCAGAGUGGACGUUGAAGUCCCCAUUUAGGGGUGGAAGGCUUGGACCCACCUAGGAUGGAGCCUUAGCACAGAUGAGGACACAGCCAUUGAAAGCAUCGACUUAUUUGACUGUGUUAUCAAGACUGUUCUUAUGCUGUACUUGUUUCUCUUGGGCAUGCCAUUAGUGUGGUAUUCAUAAGCAGAAAUGUAAAAAAGAAAUGACAAGAAGUAUGUGUAGUAAAUCCACCUACUUUCCAGACUUAGUUCAAAGAUUAUGACCUAAGCAGAGGUCUGGUUAGUUUAGGCUUUGUGAACGUUUGUCCAAAUUAUAGUAGGUUUACUAGCUAAAAACCCUGGGUGAGUCUGAUGAAAAGUAUUUCUUUUUUUCCAUUGCUGUUUUUGUAACAUCCACAUCAAUCUAAAUUGCUGUUUAGAUAAGGUAACUCUACUUUACUGGCCAAGAGUGAGGAAUAAAAUCUGUUAAGUGGAUGCAACACACUUCCUUUCUGCCUAUUCAUUCAAAAGGCCCUAUAGUGAAAUGGCAAAGAGCCUUUAUUCAAAUGGUGGGUGCCAUGCUGUGGUAAUACAGAUGGAUUUUUCACAACAUGCAGAAGUGCUUAUAAAUAGAUACGUUUCAAUCAACAAGUAGCUUAUUCAGGCAUGUGCUCAAAUAUAGUAGCUGCAUUCAUUAGACAGACAUUUCCACUAAUCCCAAGACUAUACUAAUAAAAGAGUAAUCCCUUAUGGGCUAAAGGUGGUGCUGGUUUGCUUUUAACUCUUGGAGUCCUUCACACACCAAGGCCUAAUAAUAAUUGUAGCUGUAUUUGGUUUUCACCAAGUGAACUUAACCCAUUUAUGCCGGAGGUUGCAAUUUUUAAAAUUUUUGCAAUCAGAGCUUGGUGAUGACCUUGAGCAGUAGAAUAUAAAUAACUCUCACACGCUUAGCGUUCCGAUAAUGGAACACUAAGCAUAAAUGGGUUAAAAGCCGAGCUUAUCUUGGAAUUUUUCUAUUCUUAUUUUUUUAAAUUGCAGGAGCUUAGUGAAGAAAGAGGUGCUUUUUACUCUAGAUAUGUAGCUUUCAGCAAAGCCAAUUCAAAAAUCAGUUUGUGUGUGUGUAUGUUUUCUCGAUACUUUAUCAUAAAGCACUUGUCUCUUUCACCUUGGUUCAUAGAAGUGUUCGCUUGAGCAGAUUCUGUUUUGUUCUUUGAUGUUAGGAUAAAUAACAAUGGUCAGUUUUGAGAGCAUUUGCAAGCUCUCACUAUAGUGGUUUGCCUUUUUACGUGGACUUUUUCCCCUUCAAUAGCUCUUUACUCCUCCUAUGUUACUCAGAGCUAGCUGUAAUCCGUUUGCUUAGCACAACACCAAAAUCUUUCCCUUGCCAGUGGUGUCAAAUCUGCCUUCCUUUUUAUUAUUCUGACUUAUAAACUGCAGUGACCUCUGAGUCAACUUCGCCAUCUCUUGGCCCUGUGCCAACAUUGUGUUCUGUGAAAAGAGAGUCCUGCCAAGGGCUACGAGGCAGAAAACUGAUAUUAUUAAAGUGGUCUUCUGAACGCAACUCUCUGCAAGGUCCUAAGGGUUCUAAGUUGAAUAAGGCCCACUCCCUCCCUUCCAGGACUUUAGCUGAGGUUGGUUGGGGCAGAAGUCGGGCAAGACUCAUCGGAACGGAUUAACAGAGACAGAAUCCAGAGGCAACGGGGUGAAUUCCAAGUAUAGGAUCUGGACUCAGAAGAGAUUUAAGUUUCAAAUCUGGCUUUGUCAGUUAAUGCUUGUGGGAUCUCAACCACGUCACUGACUUCUCUGAGCAUGCUUCCAUAUUUCUACAAAGGAAACAAUAGGUGACUCUGCUGAGUUGAGCACUUGCGAGUACCAAGCAGUGAGGACCUGAGGCACAGAUGCUAACCAGCUUGCUGGAGAUCACACACUCAUGAGUGGCAGAGUGGGGCUUGGAACCGGGUAGCCUGGCUCUGGAGCCCUCACUCCAUCCACACACCAUGCUGGGACCCAGUCGAGUGACCAGCAGACCGGUUGUGUGGGUUAGGUGGAAUGGUGGAUAUAAACCACACAGCCCAGCUCCUGACCCAUGCUGGGCCCUCAUUCCUCCUGAAUUCCUUCUCAUUCCUGCCGCCUUCUGAAGAAGGUGCCUUGCUUCCCCUUCACCUUCUGCCGUGAUUGUAACUUUCCUGAGGCCUCCCCAGCCAUGCUGAACUGUGAGUCAAUUAAAACUCUUCCCUUUAUAAAUUUAUAAAUUUAUAAAUUCUUUAUAGCAGUGUGAAACGGGACUAAUACACCCUUCUUGACUUGCUUAUGUGACUUGCUUAUGUGACUUGCUCAUUUCCAGCAUGAGGCAGGAAAGGAUAGAAGCCUUUCAGAGCCUGAGCCAAGUUCCUCCUCACAGAAGCACAGAGGACACUUACUCCAUCUCUGAAAAAGCUGCCCACACCCCACCUCCAUCCAGCCUUCCAAAAGCCACCACGAAUGACCCGUAGGAGGGGCAGAGUGUGCCACUUGCUACGGACCAGAACCUCUGGGGAGCGGGGAUCAUCUCUGUGUCUCUCUGCUUCAACUGCAUUUAAAAUGAACAUUCUUAAUGAUAAACCUUUCCGUGUGUAAAGAAGGGCGUGGAAAAAUGUAUGUACUGGAGACUCGGGUAAUGACUUUCUAAGUGUGGAAAAUUUUCCCCCAAAGUGUUUCCAAAUAUAGAAAAGUCACAUAAUAAAUGAUGAGGGCUCAUAAACCUUUCUGGCAGCAGUUGCAGGGGUCAGAACAAGGAAGAAGGAAUUCCCAGCUCCUAGGGCCUCGCAUCCCACACUGUCUUCUGGGCUACUGUGCAACCAAUGGUUCCGUAUCUGUACGUACCCAGGGGCUCCUUAGAUAAAUAAUUGAAGUGAAAUAUCAAAUGUGUUACUGGUUUUUUAAUGUCACUGAUAAAACCCCUAAAAUAGACUGCAUGUCUCCCAGCUCUUCUGAACCAGGAGUGUUUGGGAAGUUGAGAAUGUCACUGGUCACAUUGUUCCUUUCUCUUGUGUCUCUAAAGGGUUUUGUUGUUUUAGGUUUGUUAAUGGUUGUCAAACACAUGCCUCAGACAUUUUUAACCUCCUGGAAGCCUACUGGACUCAACACACUGAAAC
rnacentral:lncRNA from 10 species